rfam:Yersinia ruckeri strain 37551 YRO1b0000012, whole genome shotgun sequence.
AGACAGCUAAAUAAGUCUUAAUAUUAUUUUUCCUCGUCAGUCACGAAUACCUAAUUGCUGUGUGUAGUCUUUGCCUAUCGCCUAUGAUGGGCUUUUUUUUAU